UACGUAGGGUGCAGGCGUUUAAUCGGAAUUACUGGGCGUAAAGCGUGCGCAGGCGGUUUGCUAAGACAGGUGUGAAAUCCCCGGGCUUAACCUGGGAACUGCGCUUGUUACUGGCAGGCUUGAGUGUGGCAGAGGGGGGGUGGAAUUCCACGUGUAGCAGUGAAAUGCGUAGAGAUGUGGAGGAACACCGAUGGCGAAGGCAGCCCCCUGGGCUAACACUGACGCUCAUGCACGAAAGCGUGGGGAGCAAACAGG
rnacentral:rRNA from 1 species